AACGAACGCUGGCGGCAUGCCUAACACAUGCAAGUCGAACGAGACCUUCGGGUCUAGUGGCGCACGGGUGCGUAACGCGUGGGAACCUGCCCUUAGGUUCGGAAUAACUCCCCGAAAGGGGUGCUAAUACCGGAUAAUGUCUUCGGACCAAAGAUUUAUCGCCUUUGGAUGGGCCCGCGUUGGAUUAGCUAGUUGGUAGGGUAAAAGCCUACCAAGGCGACGAUCCAUAGCUGGUCUGAGAGGAUGAUCAGCCACACUGGGACUGAGACACGGCCCAGACUCCUGCGGGGGGCGGGAGGGGGGAAUAUUGGACAAGGGGCGAAAGCCUGAUCCAGCAAGGCCGGGGGGGUGAUGAAGGCUUUGGGGUUGUAAAGCUCUUUUACCCGGGAUGAUAAUGAAAGUACCGGGAAAAAAAGCCCCGGCAAACUCCGG
rnacentral:rRNA from 1 species